GGGACGAGGAGCAGACAGGGCUUGUUCAUGACAAGUUACACCGUUACAGCUGUGUGACCUUAUAUCCAACGUACAACAAUAUACAACUGAAAGUCAUGGCCAAUUGGACAAAAGGGGAAGUACUAUUGGAACACAAAUGGAAUGGGGGCCAACAGCAUAUUGAAAUUGGCAAAUUCAAAGCGGACUUCGGAACGUUAUCAAAUGGCCAAUUGAGGCAGGAUUUCGUGCAUUUACAAAAUGGAAAACGAAGACAGGAAUUCGUACAUCUAGAAAAUGGAAAACGGGGUCGGAAGGAUGCAGAUAUCAUUCGUCAGAUUUCUAAAGAAUACAACGUACCUGAAACGGCAGUAAUCCCUGUGACUAGUUGUAAGGAGAAGGAGCUUCAGUUCAUUGUUUACAGCGACUCGUAUAACAGAGAAACAUACAAAACUUUCGAUGG